UCAUUGGCCUUUCCGAUGAUAGCAUCCAUGUCUUCAAUUAUCUGCCGCAGAUACUCCAAGCAGCUGAGGUCUGCUUGGUGCAUUUUUCUCUCCAAUUGCCCCUUUUUUCUCCCCAAUUGAUUCUUAAUGAGCUGCAUGAAAUUGAUCCAGCAUCCAUCUCCAGCUACAGCUGCAUUUUUCUCUUCAAUUGCCCUUUUUUUCUGUAGAUACAAGGAGAAACUCAAAGCUGCAUCGCGAUCAUCAGCUGAAAGAGGAAGGAGUUGAUUGACGAUGUGAGAUUCAAUCAUAUCUUGGGCUGUAUGAGCAGCAGAUGUGAUUAGGCUUUCGAGAUGUUGUGCUUCUUCGCUAACUCCACCAUAAUUAAAGGUCUCUAUGAAAUCGAGCAACAAAUCAGCCUUCUCCUGAAGGGAUUGGAUCUGAUUAAUGUUGUGGAAAGAAGUGGAAAGGGUAGGAUGGGUCAUCAUCUGCUGAAUGGUAUUCAAGAGAGAAGCGAGAGCUGCAUAAGCUGCCAUCUCAGAUUAAACUGCAGAUUGC